rnacentral:rRNA from 1 species
GGUUAAGCGACUAAGCGUACACGGUGGAUGCCCUGGCAGUCAGAGGCGAUGAAGGACGUGCUAAUCUGCGAUAAGCGUCGGUAAGGUGAUAUGAACCGUUAUAACCGGCGAUUUCCGAAUGGGGAAACCCAGUGUGUUUCGACACACUAUCAUUAACUGAAUCCAUAGGUUAAUGAGGCGAACCGGGGGAACUGAAACAUCUAAGUACCCCGAGGAAAAGAAAUCAACCGAGAUUCCCCCAGUAGCGGCGAGCGAACGGGGAGCAGCCCAGAGCCUGAAUCAGUAUGUGUGUUAGUGGAAGCGUCUGGAAAGGCGCGCGAUACAGGGUGACAGCCCCGUACACAAAAAUGCACAUAUUGUGAGCUCGAUGAGUAGGGCGGGACACGUGGUAUCCUGUCUGAAUAUGGGGGGACCAUCCUCCAAGGCUAAAUACUCCUGACUGACCGAUAGUGAACCAGUACCGUGAGGGAAAGGCGAAAAGAACCCCGGCGAGGGGAGUGAAAAAGAACCUGAAACCGUGUACGUACAAGCAGUGGGAGCACGCUUAGGCGUGUGACUGCGUACCUUUUGUAUAAUGGGUCAGCGACUUAUAUUCUGUAGCAAGGUUAACCGAAUAGGGGAGCCGAAGGGAAACCGAGUCUUAACUGGGCGUUAAGUUGCAGGGUAUAGACCCGAAACCCGGUGAUCUAGCCAUGGGCAGGUUGAAGGUUGGGUAACACUAACUGGAGGACCGAACCGACUAAUGUUGAAAAAUUAGCGGAUGACUUGUGGCUGGGGGUGAAAGGCCAAUCAAACCGGGAGAUAGCUGGUUCUCCCCGAAAGCUAUUUAGGUAGCGCCUCGUGAAUUCAUCUCCGGGGGUAGAGCACUGUUUCGGCAAGGGGGUCAUCCCGACUUACCAACCCGAUGCAAACUGCGAAUACCGGAGAAUGUUAUCACGGGAGACACACGGCGGGUGCUAACGUCCGUCGUGAAGAGGGAAACAACCCAGACCGCCAGCUAAGGUCCCAAAGUCAUGGUUAAGUGGGAAACGAUGUGGGAAGGCCCAGACAGCCAGGAUGUUGGCUUAGAAGCAGCCAUCAUUUAAAGAAAGCGUAAUAGCUCACUGGUCGAGUCGGCCUGCGCGGAAGAUGUAACGGGGCUAAACCAUGCACCGAAGCUGCGGCAGCGACGCUUAUGCGUUGUUGGGUAGGGGAGCGUUCUGUAAGCCUGUGAAGGUGUGCUGUGAGGCAUGCUGGAGGUAUCAGAAGUGCGAAUGCUGACAUAAGUAACGAUAAAGCGGGUGAAAAGCCCGCUCGCCGGAAGACCAAGGGUUCCUGUCCAACGUUAAUCGGGGCAGGGUGAGUCGACCCCUAAGGCGAGGCCGAAAGGCGUAGUCGAUGGGAAACAGGUUAAUAUUCCUGUACUUGGUGUUACUGCGAAGGGGGGACGGAGAAGGCUAUGUUGGCCGGGCGACGGUUGUCCCGGUUUAAGCGUGUAGGCUGGUUUUCCAGGCAAAUCCGGAAAAUCAAGGCUGAGGCGUGAUGACGAGGCACUACGGUGCUGAAGCAACAAAUGCCCUGCUUCCAGGAAAAGCCUCUAAGCAUCAGGUAACAUCAAAUCGUACCCCAAACCGACACAGGUGGUCAGGUAGAGAAUACCAAGGCGCUUGAGAGAACUCGGGUGAAGGAACUAGGCAAAAUGGUGCCGUAACUUCGGGAGAAGGCACGCUGAUAUGUAGGUGAAGUCCCUCGCGGAUGGAGCUGAAAUCAGUCGAAGAUACCAGCUGGCUGCAACUGUUUAUUAAAAACACAGCACUGUGCAAACACGAAAGUGGACGUAUACGGUGUGACGCCUGCCCGGUGCCGGAAGGUUAAUUGAUGGGGUCAGCGCAAGCGAAGCUCUUGAUCGAAGCCCCGGUAAACGGCGGCCGUAACUAUAACGGUCCUAAGGUAGCGAAAUUCCUUGUCGGGUAAGUUCCGACCUGCACGAAUGGCGUAAUGAUGGCCAGGCUGUCUCCACCCGAGACUCAGUGAAAUUGAACUCGCUGUGAAGAUGCAGUGUACCCGCGGCAAGACGGAAAGACCCCGUGAACCUUUACUAUAGCUUGACACUGAACAUUGAGCCUUGAUGUGUAGGAUAGGUGGGAGGCUUUGAAGUGUGGACGCCAGUCUGCAUGGAGCCGACCUUGAAAUACCACCCUUUAAUGUUUGAUGUUCUAACGUUGACCCGUAAUCCGGGUUGCGGACAGUGUCUGGUGGGUAGUUUGACUGGGGCGGUCUCCUCCUAAAGAGUAACGGAGGAGCACGAAGGUUGGCUAAUCCUGGUCGGACAUCAGGAGGUUAGUGCAAUGGCAUAAGCCAGCUUGACUGCGAGCGUGACGGCGCGAGCAGGUGCGAAAGCAGGUCAUAGUGAUCCGGUGGUUCUGAAUGGAAGGGCCAUCGCUCAACGGAUAAAAGGUACUCCGGGGAUAACAGGCUGAUACCGCCCAAGAGUUCAUAUCGACGGCGGUGUUUGGCACCUCGAUGUCGGCUCAUCACAUCCUGGGGCUGAAGUAGGUCCCAAGGGUAUGGCUGUUCGCCAUUUAAAGUGGUACGCGAGCUGGGUUUAGAACGUCGUGAGACAGUUCGGUCCCUAUCUGCCGUGGGCGCUGGAGAACUGAGGGGGGCUGCUCCUAGUACGAGAGGACCGGAGUGGACGCAUCACUGGUGUUCGGGUUGUCAUGCCAAUGGCACUGCCCGGUAGCUAAAUGCGGAAGAGAUAAGUGCUGAAAGCAUCUAAGCACGAAACUUGCCCCGAGAUGAGUUCUCCCUGACUCCUUGAGAGUCCUGAAGGAACGUUGAAGACGACGACGUUGAUAGGCCGGGUGUGUAAGCGCAGCGAUGCGUUGAGCUAACCGGUACUAAUGAACCGUGAGGCUUAACCUU